GCUGGGCAUGGUGGCAAAUGCCUGUAGUCCCAGCUACUUAGGUGGCUGAGGCAGAAGGAUCUUGAACCAGGAAUUUGAGGCAAGCCUGGGCAACAUAAGGAGACCCUACCUUAA
rnacentral:sRNA from 1 species